rnacentral:rRNA from 1 species
GACGAACGCUGGCGGCGUGCUUAACACAUGCAAGUCGAACGGACAGGCCCUGCUUUUGUGGUGUUCUCGUUUGGCGCACGGGUGUGUAACACGUGAGUAACCUGCCCUUGACUUUGUGAGAACUUCAGGAAACUGGGGCGCAUACCGGAUAGAAGCUCCUGCUGCAUGGUGGGCGUUGGAAAAUUUCGGCGGUGGGGGCUCGACUCGCGGCUUAUCAGCUUGUUGGUGGGGUAGUGGCUUACCAAGGCUUUGACGGGUAGCCGGCCUGAGAGGGUGACCGGCCACAUUGGGACUGAGAUACGGCCCAGACUCCUACGGGAGGCAGCAGUGGGGAAUAUUGCACAAUGGGCGGACGCCUGAGGCAGCAACGCCGCGUGCGGGAUGCCGGCCUUCGGGUUGUAAACCGCUUUCGCCUGUGACGAAGCGUGAGUGACGGUAAUGGGUCAAGAAGCACCGGCUAACUACGUG